UACGAAGGGGGCUAGCGUUGUUCGGAUUUACUGGGCGUAAAGCGCACGUAGGCGGAUCUUUAAGUCAGAGGUGAAAUCCCAAGGCUCAACCUUGGAACUGCCUUUGAUACUGGGGAUCUUGAGUCCGGGAGAGGUGAGUGGAACUCCGAGUGUAGAGGUGAAAUUCGUAGAUAUUCGGAAGAACACCAGUGGCGAAGGCGGCUCACUGGCCCGGUACUGACGCUGAGAUACGAAAGCGUGGGAGCAAACAGG
rnacentral:rRNA from 1 species